rnacentral:rRNA from 1 species
UACGUAGGGGGCAAGCGUUGUCCGGAAUCAUUGGGCGUAAAGCGCGUGUAGGCGGCUAGGUAAGUCCGCUCUGAAAGCCCGGGGCUCAACCCCGGGAGGCGGGUGGAUACUGCUCAGCUCGAGUCCGGAAGAGGAGUGUGGAAUUCCUGGUGUAGCGGUGAAAUGCGCAGAUAUCAGGAGGAACACCAAUGGCGAAGGCAGCACUCUGGGACGGUACUGACGCUGAGACGCGAAAGCGUGGGGAGCAAACAGG